rnacentral:rRNA from 1 species
UACGUAGGGUGCGAGCGUUAAUCGGAAUUACUGGGCGUAAAGCGUGCGCAGGCGGCGCCGCAAGUCGAGUGUGAAAGCCCCGGGCUUAACUUGGGAAUUGCGCUCGAAACUACUUUGCUGGAGUGUGGCAGAGGAAGGUGGAAUUCCACGUGUAGCGGUGAAAUGCGUAGAGAUGUGGAGGAACACCAAUGGCGAAGGCAGCCUUCUGGGCCAACACUGACGCUCAUGCACGAAAGCGUGGGGAGCAAACAGG